AUUGAACGCUGGCGGCAUGCUUUACACGUGCAAGUCGAACGGCAGCGCGGGGCAACCUGGCGGCGAGUGGCGCACGGGUGAGUAAUAUAUCGGAACGUACCCAGAAGUGGGGGAUAACGUAGCGAAAGUUACGCUAAUACCGCAUACGAUCUACGGAUGAAAGUAGGGGACCGCAAGGCCUUAUGCUUUUGGAGCGGCCGAUAUCUGAUUAGCUAGUUGGUGAGGUAAAGGCUCACCAAGGCGACGAUCAGUAGCUGGUCUGAGAGGACGACCAGCCACACUGGAACUGAGACACGGUCCAGACUCCUACGGGAGGCAGCAGUGGGGAAUUUUGGACAAUGGGCGCAAGCCUGAUCCAGCAAUGCCGCGUGAGUGAAGAAGGCCUUCGGGUUGUAAAGCUCUUUUGUCAGGGAAGAAACGGUAGAGGCUAAUAUCCUGUGCUAAUGACGGUACCUGAAGAAUAAGCACCGGCUAACUACGUG
rnacentral:rRNA from 1 species